UCUCCGUUGGUGAACCAGCGGAGGGAUCAUUACAGAGUUGCAAAACUCCCAACCAUUGUGAACCUACCUCACCGUUGCUUCGGCGGGUGGCCCUCGCCAGGGCCGCGCCGGCCUCCGUGCCGGCAACCAAAAAUUCUAGCUGUUUUUGUACCAUCUGAGUCUUCCACAAAUAAACAAAACUUUCAACAACGGAUCUCUUGGUUCUG
rnacentral:misc_RNA from 1 species